AAAACGUGACAAGAUCUGCAAAGUUCAUAGUAGAACCAUAGCUAGGUUAAAUGUAAGAAUUUAUCGAUAGGAGUGCCAUUCAAAACGUUGCAUCUGUUCAGAGGACAAAAAAUGCUGACGACUUUGUUGCACAAUGACAUGUUGAGUUUAGAUACCACUGAAAGUGAACAUCAGUGGAACUUUGAUGAUCUAGGCCACUCUAUUUGUUGCAGCAACACCAGCAGGCGUCGGCCAUUCAUAAAGUUGAAAGAACAAACCUAUGACUUGAACACACAAUUUGUGAUCUGAAUAUAGUUCACAAAUUUAAGGAAAGCAACUAUUAAGGUCAUUCAGAUCAAUGGUAUACAUGAAGUAUGAGUAAAAGACUUUUAAGAAGAACAAGCACAAUCCCGAUUCAUUCUUGCCAUUACCUUCCCCAGAGGGCGACAUUCAG